rnacentral:rRNA from 1 species
CCUACGGGUGGCAGCAGUGAGGAAUAUUGGUCAAUGGGCGGAAGCCUGAACCAGCCAAGUAGCGUGAAGGAUGACGGCUCUAUGGGUCGUAAACUGCUUUUAUACGGGAAUAACGCGCCGUACGUGUCGGGCUUUGCAUGUACCUUAUGAAUAAGGAACGGCUAACUCCGUGCCAGCAGCCGCGGUAAUACGGAGGAUCCGAGCGUUAUCCGGAUUUAUUGGGUUUAAAGGGAGAGUAGGUGGAUUGUUAAGUCAGUUGUGAAAGUUUGCGGCUCAACCGUAAAAUUGCAGUUGAAACUGGCAGUCUUGAGUACAGUAGAGGUAGGCGGAAUUCGUGGUGUAGCGGUGAAAUGCUUAGAUAUCACGAAGAACGCCGAUUGCGAAGGCAGCUCACUGGACUGCAACUGACACUGAGGCUCGAAAGUGUGGGUAUCAAACAGGAUUAGAUACCCUUGUAGUC